rnacentral:lncRNA from 1 species
UUUCCUUCCAUUUUUCUAGCUGCUAAGAGUUAUCUCACUGUGAAGAAGAAGAGUUCCUGGACUCUUUAAACCAGCAUUUCCUGGACUGUGCUCAAUGGAACACCAGUUCUGAGAGAUUAUCUGUAAGAAAGGGAUUCUAGGGCCAGAGAUCUUUGGCAAGAUAGCAUACUGUAUGUGUAAAACAGCAGUUCUCAAAGUGUGCCUGGAGCAGCAUCAGCAACAUCACUUGGGAAAUGAGAAAAAUGCAGAUUCCCUGAUCCCACCUCUGACCUACAGAAUCAAAAACUCUAGAAGUGGGCCUCUGUAAGCUGUGUUUCAACCAGCCCUCCAGGAGAAAGAGAAGAGAUGAUGAACGGCCGAUUUGAGACAACUACCACUCAAAGGAUUUAUAAGAAGGAAAUGUUCUACAUUACCUCAAGAAGAACAGAACAUGAGUUCAUUACACCCAUUGCAUCUAUUAGAUAGGGCUAAACUCUCAGAUUUUGAAUGCUGUCUUUGAUAAGCAUAGCUAGCUGUACUGUUGUCAUAGCUCAAGACUCAAGUACUGAUUUAUGCCUUGACCCUAAGUAACAUUCUGAAAAUGCUACUAAAUUUGAGAUCCUGAUUUGGAAGUCAAGAAUUGUGUGAUGUAAACAUAAUUUUGAAGUCUAAAUACCAGUUAUUCUUGAAAACAAAACAAAACAAAAACACAGCUCCAAAGGCUGGCAAUUAAUCAUCAACAUCAACGUGUGUUUAUUAAGCCCUGCUUUGAGAGCUAUAAAAUAUAUAUUAGAACGUCUCUAUUUUAAGAAGCUCACAAACUUUCUGUAAUAAAGGUAAAGUUUAUUCUCUUCACGAACAGGGCUCCUUGCUAGUAUAUAUGCAUUGUUUAAAGCACAUUCUUCUAGGUUAUUUCAUUCUAUGGGGACUCUGAGUCUUUCAUUGCCUUUGAACUAUUUUACAACACUGUAAAUUGUAGAUAACCGAUAGCAGUACAAAAGAAUUCUCCUCUAUAGAUAUGCAAAUAAAUUCUGUCCAGUGGAAGUUCAAAGACUUCCCUCCUCCACUGUGGAAGCAGCCAGUUUUGUG